rnacentral:rRNA from 1 species
UGGGGGAUAUUGCACAAUGGGCGAAAGCCUGAUGCAGCGACGCCGCGUGGGGGAUGAAGGCUUUCGGGUUGUAAACCUCUUUCGCUAUCGAACAAGGCCCGCUUAGGGUGGGUUGAGGGUAGGUGGAGAAGAAGCGCCGGCUAACUACGUGCCAGCAGCCGCGGUAAUACGUAGGGCGCGAGCGUUGUCCGGAAUUAUUGGGCGUAAAGGGCUUGUAGGCGGCUUGUUGCGCCUGCUGUGAAAACGCGGGGCUUAACUUCGCGCGUGCAGUGGGUACGGGCAGGCUUGAGUGUGGUAGGGGUGACUGGAAUUCCAGGUGUAGCGGUGGAAUGCGCAGAUAUCUGGAGGAACACCGAUGGCGAAGGCAGGUCACUGGGCCAUUCUGACGCUGAGGAGCGAAAGCAUGGGUAGCGAACAGG